CAUGCACUGAUUUUUCCAUCCCAUCUCAACUACUGAACGACUUGAUUCAUCGAUCUCGAACCCACUCUCCAGCUGCCGGAAAUGGACAUCAGAGAAGCAAUCAGAAACCAUGGCGACGUCGCCAUGGCCAUCACCAAGCGCAUUCUCCAACACGACGAAGCCAAGGGUUCCAACGUUGUGAUAUCCCCCUUGUCAAUCUACGUGCUUCUCAGCCUUGUCGCUGCCGGCUCCAAGGGCCGCCCGCUGGAUCAACUUCUGUCCUUCCUCAAAUCAAACUCCAUCGACAACCUCAACGCCUUCGCUUCUCAUAUCAUAGACAAGGUCUUCGCCGAUGCGUCUUCCUGCGGCGGACCUCGCCUCGCGUUUGUCAACGGCGUUUGGAUCGAUCAGUCACUUUCUCUCAAGUCUUCUUUCCAACAGGUUGUGGACAAAUAUUACAAGGCCGAGCUCCGUCAAGUCGAUUUCCUGACUAAGGCUAAUGAAGUGAUUUCGGAAGUGAACUCAUGGGUUGAAAAAAACACGUAUGGACUUAUCAGAGAGAUUCUUCCCGCUGGAUCAGUGGGUAGUUCCACUCAGCUCAUCCUUGCGAAUGCACUCUACUUCAAAGCGGCAUGGCAGCAGGCAUUUGAUGCUUCGAUAACAAUGAAGCGUGAUUUCUACCUUAUUGAUGGGAGCUCAGUUAAAGCACCCUUUAUGUCCGGUGAGAAGGACCAAUAUGUAGCUGUGUUCGAUGGGUUUAAGGUUCUUGCAUUGCCGUACAGUCAAGGUCCUGACCCUCGUCGUUUUUCUAUGUACUUCUUUCUCCCAGAUCGGAAGGAUGGACUGGCAAGUUUGAUUGAAAAGUUAGAUUCUGAGCCUGGGUUCAUCGACCGCCACAUUCCAUGUAAAAAACAAGAGCUGGGGGGAUUUUUGAUUCCAAAGUUUAAAAUUUCCUUUGGGAUUGAAGUUUCCGAUGUUUUAAAGAAGUUAGGAUUGGUGUUACCAUUUACUGAAGGAGGGUUGUUAGGAAUGGUGGAGUCCCCAGUGGCUCAAAACCUUAGUGUUUCUAACAUAUUCCACAAGGCGUUUAUUGAGGUUGAUGAAGAAGGCACAAAAGCUGCAGCUUCUUCAGCUGUUACUGUAGGAAUAGUAAGCUUGCCUUUAAAUAGAAUAGACUUCAUUGCCAACCGCCCGUUCUUGUAUUUGAUCAGGGAAGACAAAUCAGGAACUUUGCUUUUCAUCGGGCAGGUGUUAAACCCUCUUGUGGAUUGAAUAAUACCAAUAGACUGGAGCUAAAGAAUAAACCUAAAUAGCUGCAAUAAAAUCUAGCAACGCUUACUUUUUGCUGCUGAAGGCAUGUUUUAGCAGCAUGCCCUUUGAAUAUUAUGUGUAUUAUCUAUAUCUGGUUUCAUAUGGUGUUCUUACGGU